rnacentral:rRNA from 1 species
UUUUAUUAGAAUUAAUUAAUAAUAAAGUCUGCUCAAUGAAAUUUAAAUAGCCGCUUUUGUGCUAAGGUAGCAUAAUCAUUUGUCUUUUAAUUAAAGACUAGAACAAAAGACUUAACAUCUCAAUAGAUUUUUUUUAUAAAAUUAUUUAAAUUAUUUUAAUUGUUAAAAAACAAUUUUUAAAAAGAAAGACGAUAAGACCCUAUCGAACUUCACUUCAGUUUAACUGGGGCAGUUAAUUAAUUAUUACCUUAAUAAUAUUAAAUAUUUAAUUUGACCUAAUAUAAUUAACAAUAUAAUUAAGUUACCGUAGGGAUAACAGUGUAAUAAAAUUUUUAAGAUCUUAUUUAAAAUAAAGAUUGCAACCUCGAUGUUGAUUUAAUAUUCUAAUUUACGCAAUAGUUAAUUAAGAAAGUCUGUUCGACUUUUAAAAAAUU